rnacentral:rRNA from 1 species
GACGAGUGGCGGACGGGUGAGUAAUGCUUGGGAACUUGCCUUUAGGUGGGGGAUAACAGUUGGAAACGACUGCUAAUACCGCAUAAUGUCUACGGACCAAAGGGGGCUUCGGCUCCCGCCUUGAGAGAGGCCCAAGUGAGAUUAGCUAGUUGGUGGGGUAAAGGCCUACCAAGGCAACGAUCUCUAGCUGUUCUGAGAGGAAGAUCAGCCACACUGGGACUGAGACACGGCCCAGACUCCUACGGGAGGCAGCAGUGGGGAAUAUUGCACAAUGGGGGAAACCCUGAUGCAGCCAUGCCGCGUGUGUGAAGAAGGCCUUCGGGUUGUAAAGCACUUUCAGUUGUGAGGAAAGGUUGGUAGUUAAUACCUGCCAGCUGUGACGUUAACAACAGAAGAAGCACCGGCUAACUCCGUGCCAGCAGCCGCGGUAAUACGGAGGGUGCGAGCGUUAAUCGGAAUUACUGGGCGUAAAGCGCACGCAGGCGGCUUGUUAAGCUAGAGGUGAAAGCCCCGCGCUCAACGUGGGAACUGCCUUUAGAACUGGCAGGCUAGAGUCUUGGAGAGGGGAGUGGAAUUCCAGGUGUAGCGGUGAAAUGCGUAGAUAUCUGGAGGAACAUCAGUGGCGAAGGCGGCUCCCUGGCCAAAGACUGACGCUCAUGUGCGAAAGUGUGGGUAGCGAAC